CUGAGGUGCAAUUCACUUGAGGGAGCCUACAACAAUGUUGCAAAUUGAGGUUCAGCACACCGCGUGUUUUCACAUCCUCCACAAAACGUGUCAGCAACAUCAGAGCAUCGGUAUCGAUAGUUUAUGAGAUGAUCUAACGAUUAGCCGUCGUGGAAUUGUCAUUUUCUGUGCAGGAAAACCGUACAUUUUCUAUAAAACUACCUGUUGCAGGCGCAAGAGUGAAGCCUCUGGAAAAUAUUAACUUAUAUUACAUUUUCGAAGAUAACACUUUCUGGUGCAAUUUAAAAGCGGCGAAACUUAGUUUUAAAGUCUGAGUUAACAUUUGAGAAGUGGUUGAAUAAAUGUUCACACUACGUCGAUUAUCGCAAAGGUCGUGAUUUCGGGCGGGAUUUAAAAUCUUACACAAGUUAGAAGCAAACCCUUCCACAGAACUGUACGUGAAAAGCGCGCUUAAUUCUCUUCAUUUAAAAUAAGAUUAACCGUAAGUGAUAAUUUUUUUGAGAAAUAAAUGAUUUCCGAUAAUAACAACAUGUAAAGGUUAAUACUUAAACUGUUGCCGUAAUAUUGCACCACUGACCCUUAAAAUUAUGUGAAAAAUCAUCAAAUAAGUUAUUGUCACAUUCAAUCAAUUUUGAAUUAUAGGAAGUCCCUAAUUACAUAGUGAGUCAAAAGUUGGCAUUUUUUACCCCCACCCCUUUGUCUACAGGAAGAAGGAACUGCAGCUUCGGCCAUUGUCCAUUUGCGGUUUUAUCGUCGUGCUGUGCGGGUCGUUCGAGGCGUUGGUCCUGUAGUUGAAUCCACAAAAAAUUUAAAAAAUAAAAUAAUUAUUCUUUUUAAACAAGAACUCAAGUUAGAAUAUCUAGAAAUAGAUAAUCAACACGCGUAAAAUAACAAUUGGCCGCUCAACGUGUCAUGUUUGGUUGGAACCCGAUGUCGCUGUCGGCUUCCAUGAUGGCCGCAAAAUCUUCUCAACGUUCACAGUGGUGCUUCGUGAUUGGUCGGAACAUGAUGACGCCACUAUAUGAUGCUCAACGGUUAAUAACCAUGAACAUAACCGUUUUUUUACAAUUAGAUUGCACCAAUGAAGCCUGCACAACGGAUUGUACAAUUUAAUGGAAUCAGUCAACAGUCAUCAUGAGCAGAUAUUAUGUUCACAACAACAGUCAUAUUAGAUUGCCAAAUUAUUAUCUUUUGCAACAGUCUACUGAACCCAAGAAGAGCUAUACUGAUCGACAAUUACCACUGAAUGUCAGGAAACACAUCAUCCCUAAUCCAUCACCAACAUCAGGGGGUAGAAAGAUGACCCAAUGACUUUGAGUGUUGUGCAAUGCCACACCAGAUGAGACCAGGUGAUGGAGGGAAAUGGAAUGGAGCAUGGACAUAUGAAAGAAGGAUAACCCGAUAGAUGAGGAAUGGCCCGACCUCCAACCAAUCUCUUCCAACUCUCCGGAUUCUCCUACGAAAUGUUGCACAAACCUGGCCAUGCGACAUGGGAUUAAGGUAGGCAGGGGUGAUGUCACUGAUCAGAAGGCUGGCGUAUGCAUGUCACUCUUGUAUCUGGGGGUGGCGUGUGAAACCAGUACUUGGUCAUUCGACUAAUCCUCCCAGCAUUGCUAGAAACGCCGGAUGUCUAUAAGUAGUGAGUUUACCUUUAUUAUACCUAUCACGGAUCGCGGUAAAUUCAAUCGCGUUUCAAAGUCAAAAUCAUUUCAAAACUAAAGUAUUAUUGCGAAUAGUUUAUUUACAAUUUGCAUUCAACUUACUCGUAUGUGUCACCGUGAACACUUUGCUUAAAAUUUGCUCGUGUAGCAACUGAAUUUUGUUUAUUUUCCGUUUUUGUUCGAACGCACGUAUAAUCUUACACACACUCACACACAACACUAAACACAUACCCCACACUCACUUACACUUUUUGCUCUGUUCAUGAUCAUUGACGGGGUUCUUGGGUAUUUGGUGUGUCUAGGCACAUUCAUUACCUUACAUUCUCAACACAACACUUACACGUUCUGUUCACGCAGAACACCACAAAUAACACAAAUUAAAUCAAUGCAUCGGUCGGGGCAUUUUUUGGCAGAGUCAAAUCUGCAACAGUAAACAAUUUUAAGAAUGAAUGGAUUGAUUGUUGAAUGUAUUAUUACUUUGUAUGAUUGUGUUGCACUGUAUUGUAUUUCAUUUCAUUUGUGUAUGUCGUGUUAAAUUUUGGUCUACCAAAAGCCGGCUGCUGCCGCUGGGAUGUGGCAGUCGGUCACUUUCUUUAUAUUCGGCAAAACCGUUUUGCACUUUGAGCACAAAUCGCCAAACGCGUCGCGGGUUAGGUGCGCUCUUUUUUAUUAUAAGCGGUUUGUGCUCACUAAGCUAUCUCAUGUAGGUACUUAGGUAGGGACAAAGGCAGGUCUUAUUAAAAUAGUUAUAAGUAUCCUACUCCUCUUAGCUGUGUGAAUGAUGAAUAUUCUUUAGAAAUUUGUGUACUAAUCUUUUUCCGCUUUCAGGGUAAUCGCGAAUUAGCUAUUGGUUGUCAUUAGGUAGGGUUUUAGGUCCUUCCUUAUCCUCAUUAAUGUCUUUUUUCUUACAGCAAUUUAUAUGUGUGUGCUAAUCAAAUUUAUUUCUCUUUUAGGUGACAUUUGUUUAUUUUUCGUAUUUGUUAUUGUUAUUUUAAUUUGUAUUGUGUGUGUGAAUGAGUUCCAAAAAUCCUCACUAAUGAAUUAUGUAUUUCUUUUAGCACUUUUUAUGUACUAAUCACAUAUUUCUUCUAUGUUUUCAGGGCGUUUUGUUUGAAUUGAUUACUAAUAUUUUAAUUUAUGUUGCAGGAUCCGGGAUGCUAAGCCAUUGUGGAUGUUCUGUGCUGUUUUGUGUUCUAUUCUUGAAAUUUACUAGUCACAACUUUGUUUGCUUGUUUGUUUGAUACAGGUAUUCGAAGUGCUUGGUGAACUGGUAGAAUCAUUGAUAUGAAUGUAUUAAUAAUCAUUUAUUACUAGUCCUUGUGUCUGUUAAAAUUUAUGGAAAACCGCUCAAAGUGAACUCGAAAAGCUGAAUGCUUUGCUGCUGCAAAUGUCAAUCCAUCAUUAUUCAUCAAUGGAUAAAGAAGAUAAUUCAAGAAACGGGAUUCUGAUAUGACGGGAAAGAAUUUCUGCAAUAUACCAAAGGAAGAAGAAGAUUUUAAAUGGGUGGAAUUGUAGAAAUGAGAAACCAAGAACCAGUCUGUAUCAAUUGGAAACUUGUACUCGUUAAUAUUUGGUAAACAAAAUCUGCUUUAAUUUCAACUGGACUUCAUUUCAAUUUUGCAUUAAAACAUUUAGAGUCAAUCGGUCAACAGUUACAUACUCACACACACACACACACACACACACACACAUACACUUACACUUUCUACCCUGUUCAUGAUCAUUGACUGGGCCAAGGUAUUGCUGUGUCUCGGCACUGCUUUACCUGACAUUUUUAACAUUACUACACCUACACAUUUUUCACAUCAUCAUAAAUAACAUAAAUUAAAACCAUACAACAUUGGGUCAGCAACAACAGGAACCGAAUAAAAUGAAGAAUGAUACUCAAAUAUUGAAUUAGAUUUCAUUUUCUGGGGAAAACAUUUGCAGGCAGCCAACUUCAAAUUGCAUCAUUUAUAAUAAGACACGAAGAAACCAAACAGAUGGAGAAUUUUCCCAAAGAUGUACUCGUAUGAAGAUAAAAUCAUUAAGAAAAUGAAAAAUAUUGGCGAAUCGAAUUAU